rnacentral:rRNA from 1 species
UACGUAGGGGGCAAGCGUUGUCCGGAAUUAUUGGGCGUAAAGCGCGUGCAGGCGGCUUGUUAAGUCGGAUGUUUAAUGUCGGGGCUCAACCCCGAUUCGCAUCCGAAACUGGCAAGCUUGAGUGUAGGAGAGGAAAGUGGAAUUCCACGUGUAGCGGUGAAAUGCGUAGAGAUGUGGAGGAACACCAGUGGCGAAGGCGACUUUCUGGCCUAUAACUGACGCUGAGGCGCGAAAGCGUGGGGAGCAAACA